AGGGUAUAUGGUGGAUGUCUUGGCAUUAAGAGGCGAAGAAGGACGUGAUAAGCUGCGAUAAACCUCGGGGAGCUGCAAGUAAGCUUUGAUCCGGGGGUCUCCGAAUAAUCGUGCAUCCAAUCAAUAGGUGCAUGAAGCUAACCCAGCGAACUGAAACAUCUAAGUAGCUGGAGGAAAAGAAAGAAAAUCGAUUCCCUUAGUAGUGGCGAACGAAGAGGGAAGAGCCCAAACCUGUUAGCUUCGGCUGGCAGGGGUUGUAGGACCCAAUGUGGGACUCAGUGAGAAUAGAAAAACGGUGUGGAAAAGCCGGCCAUAGAGGGUGAAAGCCCCGUAUUCGAAAUUUGAGCUGACUCUAGGGUAUCCUGAGUAAUGCGGGUCACGUGGAACCCCGUGUGAAUCUGGGAGGACCAUCUCCCAAGGCUAAAUACUACUUAAUGACCGAUAGUGGACUAGUAGCGUGAGUGAACGAUGAAAAGUACCCCGGCGAGGGGAGUGAAAUAGUACCUGAAACCAUAUACCUACAAGCUGUUAGAGCUCUAUGUCUUCGGACACGAGUGAUAGCGUGCCUAUUGCAUAAUGAUCCUGCGAGUUACUGAUGUACGGCAAGGUUAAGCCUUUACGGGGCGAAGCCGAAGCGAAAGCGAGUCUUAAAUGGGCGCCAUAAGUCGUACGUCGUAGACCUGAAACCAAUGCGAUCUAUUCAUGAUCAGGUUGAAGCGAGAGUAAAAUCUCGUGGAGGACCGAACCCACGUUAGUUGAAAAUAACGGGGAUGAGUUGUGAAUAGGAGUGAAAGUCUAAUCAAGCUUGGAGAUAUCUGGUUCUCUCCGAAAUAUAUUUAGGUAUAGCCUCGAGCCACUACUUUAUAGGGGUAGAGCACUGAUUAAACUAGGGCCCUUACCCGGGUACCAAAUUUUAUCAAACUCCGAAUACUAUAACGAUUAUCUCGGGAGUCAGACUGUGGGGGAGAAGCUUCAUAGUCGAGAGGGGAACAGCCCAGACCGCCGAAUAAGGUCCCUAAGAAUGUGCUAAGUGUUAUGAAGGAUGUGAAGAUGCUAAGACAGCUAGGAUGUUGGCUUAGAAGCAGCCACCAUUUAAAAAGUGCGUAAUAGCUUACUAGUCGAGCAUUUUCGCGCCGAUGAUACGCGGGACUAAAGCACAUCACCGAAGUCGCGGGUUUGCACUAUGUGCAAGCAGUAGGAGAGCGUCGAUAAGCAGAUACAAGCCAUACCGAAAGGAGUGGUCACGGGCUUAUCGAGUGAUUAUGCAGGUAUGAGUAACGAUAAUUAUGGUGAGAAUCCAUAACGCCGUAAACCUAAGGUUUCCCGGGGAAGGUAAUUCCGCCCGGGGUUAGUCGGGACCUAAGUCAAGGCUGAAAAGCGUAGGCGAUGGACAACAGGCUAAUAUUCCUGUACCAAUUAGCAAAGGUUAUGACCUAUGGAGUGACGGAGAAAGCUAACUAUGCCCUCGGUUAGAUGUGGGGGUGCAAGCAUGUAGGAGGUUACCUUGGCAAAUCCGGGUAACAUCAACUCUGAGAUGUGAUGCGGUAGAAUUUCGGUUCUGUAAGAUAGUGAUGCUACGCUUCCUAGAAAAGCUUCUAUGGCACGAUGCUAUUUGCUCGUACUAAAACUGACACAGGUAGGUGAGGAGAGUAUCCUCAGGCGCUCGAGAGAACUCUCGUUAAGGAACUCGGCAAAUUGGAUCCGUAACUUCGGGAAAAGGAUCGCCUGAUUCGUGUAGGGAUUUACUCCUAAAAGCGAUGAUGGCCGCAGUGAAAAGGCCCAAGCGACUGUUUACUAAAAACACAGGUCUGUGCAAAAUAUCAAUAUGAUGUAUACAGACUGACGCCUGCUCGAUGCUGGAAGGUUAAAGAAGCCGGUGCAAGCUGGCAACUGAAGCCCCAGUGAAUGGCGGCCGUAACUAUGACGGUCCUAAGGUAGCGAAAUUCCUUGUCGGGUAAGUUCCGACCUGCAUGAAUGGCGUAACGACUUGGGCACUGUCUCAACGAGAGACUCGGUGAAAUUGCAACCGUUGUGAAGAUGCAACGUUCCCGCGGAAAGACGAAAAGACCCCGUGAACCUUUACUAUAACCUAAUAUUGGGUUUUGUGAUAAUUUGUGUAGGAUAGGUGGGAGACUACGAUACCAGGCCGCUAGGUUUGGUGGAGUCGUUGGUGAAAUACCACUCUGAUUAUCAGAAGAUUCUAACUGGGAUUCCCUAUAUCGGGACUCAGGACAUUGUUAGGCGGGUAGUUUGACUGGGGCGGUCUCCUCCUAAAGAGUAACGGAGGAGUUCAAAGGUCCUCUCAGCACGGUCGGCAAUCGUGCGUUGAGUGCAAAGGCAUAAGAGGGCUUAACUGCGAGACUUAUACGUCGAGCAGAUACGAAAGUAGGACUUAGUGAUCCAGCGCUUCUGUAUGGAAGGGGCGUUGCUCAACAGAUAAAAGGUACUCCGGGGAUAACAGGCUGAUCUUACCCAAGAGUUCAUAUCGACGGUAAGGUUUGGCACCUCGAUGUCGGCUCAUCACAUCCUGGGGCUGAAGCAGGUCCCAAGGGUUAGGCUGUUCGCCUAUUAAAGUGGUACGCGAGCUGGGUUUAAACCGGCGUGAGCCAGGUUGGUCUCUAUCUUCCGUGGGCGUAGGAUAUUUGAGGGGAUGUUUCCUUAGUACGAGAGGAUUGGGAAGCACGUUCCAAUGGUGUACCUGUUGUGUCGCUAGAUGCAUCGCAGGGUAGCUAAGAACGGAAAGGAUAAACGCUGAAAGCAUAUAAGCGUGAAGCCCACCCCAAGACUAGAUAUCCAUUCCGAAAGGAUGAAGGCUCCUUGAAGACUACAAGGUCGAUAGGCUGGAUGUGUAAAGUCAGAAACGACAAAGCUUACCAGUACUAAUUGCCGAACGCUUGAUCA
rnacentral:rRNA from 1 species